rnacentral:rRNA from 1 species
CUGCAGUCGUGCGAACGAACCGUACUUGCUCCCGGAUGUUAGCGGCGGACGGGUGAGUAACACGUGGGUAACCUGCCUGUAAGACUGGGAUAACUCCGGGAAACCGGAGCUAAUACCGGAUAGUUCCUUGAACCGCAUGGUUCAAGGAUGAAAGACGGUUUCGGCUGUCACUUACAGAUGGACCCGCGGCGCAUUAGCUAGUUGGUGGGGUAAUGGCUCACCAAGGCGACGAUGCGUAGCCGACCUGAGAGGGUGAUCGGCCACACUGGGACUGAGACACGGCCCAGACUCCUACGGGAGGCAGCAGUAGGGAAUCUUCCGCAAUGGACGAAAGUCUGACGGAGCAACGCCGCGUGAGUGAUGAAGGU